GAAAUGAAUAAUAAUGUCAUUAACCUCUUAGGCCUUACACUUUCAAAUAUGUGCAUGUGUGUCUAUGCAUAUUCAUAUAUAUAUAUAUGCAUUCAUAUUCAUAUAUGAUUUUAAAUACUGACCAUGUACUCAGCCAAAAUUACCUGUAAUCUUCAUCACAGGUAAUGCAUGACUUCGUAGAAAAAAAUGAAUUACAUAAAUUGACCUAUAUCAAAUGGAAACCAGAAGACUUGGAUUAGAACAGAGACUGGAAAGCUAGUGAGGAUCGACAUAUAAAGAUUUAUCAGGACCAGAUGGCUCACAGUUUGGAUGACUUAUAGCCUUUUCCCUGAAAACUUGGAAUUUCGAAGGAAAAUGCCCAGAGAGUCAAAAACAACACUGCUUUGUUAGAAGUCUACAUCUUAGCAUUAUGAAGGAAUCAGAAGUGUAGAGAAAAGUGUGUUCUUUUUUCCCCAAUUGAUUGAUUAUUGACUGAAAGACUAAUGUUUCCAGGCUUUGUAAACCCUACACGUCUCAAGCUCUAAUGAUCCUUGACUUGUGCUGUAGAAGUGAUGCUACGAGUAAGCAAAAAGGGGAAUUGCGAGUUAGAAUGGAGUUUAUCAUCAAGAGAUCGUCCCAUUCUCUUACUUGUAAUUUGAUUUUAAAGAAAUUUAAUACUUUGAAACAAGAACCUCAUGAACAAACGUUUACCUUACCUUAAUGAUAUGACAGUUUUGUAUAAAUUUGACAUUUCUGAAAGAAUUCAGCUCAAAGAUAGUAAGUAUAGAAGUCUUCUAUUUUUCUGUUUUUCUACGGUAAUUAACUCACUACCACAUUUCUCACCAAUGCUCUUUGCGUGAACUCAUUUUUAGAGGAUGACAGACCCUCACCUUUCCUGUGGGAAUGCUAAUACUGUCAAGAAGAACAAAGAACUUUUGCCCUCUGAGAUCCCCCGGGACCACUGCUCUCUCCUUGUUUCAUCAGAAGUGAGGAUUUGUCAGUAGGCACAUUUAAUCAUAGGCCAUAUCAGGAGUAUCUUCUGGGCCCAAAGUGGACAGAAAGUCUCACCCUGAACCCUUAAAUAGGUUACUGGACUUUACUGGUUAGUAAGGAGACAUUGCUUCCUAUUGUGGGAAUAAUGAGCAAUAAUACGAUACAGUUUUAAAAUAGAAUAGUAUAGAAAAGAAGGCUACUUUUUCAAAACAAAAUAUAAAAACAAAUCAAUUACUUCACAUUUUUAAAGUUAUACUCUAUUAUUCACUAUAGUAAAAAUAUUUACAUAUGCUGAGUCAUAUAAUUAUCAUAAUAGCCAAUGAAGAAGAUGAAAAAAAGUUGCGACUAAAGAAGAAUUAAAACUUACUUCCAACUUUUCAAAGAUAGUGAAUGAUCCAGGAUUCAAAGCCAGGUCAGUUAAACUGGACAACCUUUAACUUUCUGCUCUGUAGCAUGGCAGCCUUAUUUUCACGGAUUUGGAAAUAAAUCCGAAAGUAAUUCAGAAAUUGAUCA
rnacentral:lncRNA from 1 species